rnacentral:rRNA from 1 species
ACGCUCGACACCUACGGGGGGCAGCAGUGGGGAAUAUUGCACAAUGGGGGAAACCCUGAUGCAGCGACGCCGCGUGAAGGAAGAAGUAUUUCGGUAUGUAAACUUCUAUCAGCAGGGAAGAAGAAAGUGACGGUACCUGACUAAGAAGCCCCGGCUAACUACGUCNCNNNCGCGAGUAUGNGCGGCGNGNGAGAG